rnacentral:rRNA from 1 species
GACGAACGCUGGCGGCGUGCUUAACACAUGCAAGUCGAACGGAAAGGCCCUGCUUUUGUGGGGUGCUCGAGUGGCGAACGGGUGAGUAACACGUGAGUAACCUGCCCUUGACUUUGGGAUAACUUCAGGAAACUGGGGCUAAUACCGGAUAGGAGCUCCUGCUGCAUGGUGGGGGUUGGAAAGUUUCGGCGGUUGGGGAUGGACUAGCGGCUUAUCAGCUUGUUGGUGGGGUAGUGGCUUACCAAGGCUUUGACGGGUAGCCGGCCUGAGAGGGUGACCGGCCCCAUUGGGACUGAGAUACGGCCCAGACUCCUACGGGAGGCAGCGGUGGGGAAUAUUGCACAAUGGGCGGAAGCCUGAUGCAGCAACGCCGCGUGCUGGAUGACGGCCUUCGGGUUGUAAACCGCUUUCGACUGUAACGAAGCGUGAGUGACGGUAAUUGAUAAAGAAGCACCGGCUAACUACGUG